rnacentral:tRNA from 6 species
UCCGCCAUAGCUCAGUUGGUAGUAGCGCAUGACUGUUAAUCAUGAUGUCGUAGGUUCGAGUCCUACUGGCGGAGC